CCUACGGGAGGCAGCAGUCGGGAAUAUUGCGCAAUGGGGGAAACCCUGACGCAGCAACGCCGCGUGGAGGAUGAAGGUUUUCGGAUUGUAAACUCCUUUUGUAAGAGAAGAUAAUGACGGUAUCUCACGAAUAAGCACCGGCUAACUCCGUGCCAGCAGCCGCGGUAAUACGGAGGGUGAAAGCGUUACUCGGAAUCACUGGGCGUAAAGAGCGCGUAGGAGGGAUAGCAAGUCAGAUGUGAAAUCCUAUGGCUUAACCAUAGAACUGCAUUUGAAACUGUUCUUCUAGAGUAUGGGAGAGGUAGGUGGAAUUCUUGGUGUAGGGGUAAAAUGCGUAGAGAUCAAGAGGAAUACUCAUGGCGAAGGCGACCUGCUAGAACAUAACUGACGCUGAUGCGCGAAAGCGUGGGGAGCAAACAGGAUUAGAUACCCUUGUAGUC
rnacentral:rRNA from 1 species